GACGAACGCUGGCGGCGUGCUUAACACAUGCAAGUCGAACGGAAAGGCCCUUCGGGUACUCGAGUGGCGAACGGGUGAGUAACACGUGGGUGAUCUGCCCUGCACUUCGGGAUAAGCCUGGGAAACUGGGUCUAAUACCGGAUAUGACUACGGAUCGCAUGGUCUGUGGUGGAAAGCUUUUGCGGUGUGGGAUGGGCCCGCGGCCUAUCAGCUUGUUGGUGGGGUAAGCCUACCAAGCGACGACGGGUAGCCGGCCUGAGAGGGUGACCGGCCACACUGGGACUGAGAUACGGCCCAGACUCCUACGGGAGGCGANCAGUGGGGAAGUAUUGCACAAUGGGCGCAAGCCUGAUGCAGCGACGCCGCGUGAGGGACGACGGCCUC
rnacentral:rRNA from 1 species